rnacentral:rRNA from 1 species
UACGAAGGGGGCUAGCGUUGUUCGGAAUUACUGGGCGUAAAGCGCACGUAGGCGGACAUUUAAGUCAGGGGUGAAAUCCCAGAGCUCAACUCUGGAACUGCCUUUGAUACUGGGUGUCUUGAGUAUGGAAGAGGUGAGUGGAAUUCCGAGUGUAGAGGUGAAAAUUCGUAGAUAUUCGGAAGAACACCAGUGGCGAAGGCGGCUCACUGGACCGGUAUUGACGCUGAGGUGCGAAAGCGUGGGGAGCAAACAGG